GAACGCUGGCGGCAUGCCUUACACAUGCAAGUCGAACGGUAGAAUAGCAAUACUUGAGAGUGGCGAACGGGUGAGUAAUAUAUCGGAACGUGCCCAGUCGUGGGGGAUAACGUAGAGAAAUUUACGCUAAUACCGCAUACGAUCUAAGGAUGAAAGCGGGGGAUUCGCAAGAACCUCGCGCGAUUGGAGCGGCUGAUAUCAGAUUAGGUUGUUGGUGAGGUAAAAGCUCACCAAGCCGACGAUCUGUAGCUGGUUUGAGAGAACGACCAGCCACACUGGGACUGAGACACGGCCCAGACUCCUACGGGAGGCAGCAGUGGGGAAUUUUGGACAAUGGGCGCAAGCCUGAUCCAGCAAUGCCGCGUGCAGGAUGAAGGCCUUCGGGUUGUAAACUGCUUUUGUACGGAACGAAACGGUGAGCUCUAAUGCAGUUUGCUAAUGACGGUACCGUAAGAAUAAGCACCGGCUAACUACGUG
rnacentral:rRNA from 1 species